rnacentral:lncRNA from 1 species
UGCAGAGCUUACUUCUGGAUUCUGGGAGUGGGAAGAGUUGGGAGGCCAAGAAGCCCAAUGCAACGCUGCAGCUGAGCUCCUUUUAUUUCUGAGGGAAGCAAGGACUCAUCUUUUGCUCAUUUGUAACAAAUCACUCCAGCCUAGCUGAUGCUUUGGGGUAAACAAUGGAGUAGGAGUCAUCAUCAGAAUUAGAAUUAGCAGCAAUUAACAGGCAAUACACUGCCACAGUGAGGCGGGUGUCAUCCAGGUCCUGGGGACCUGCAGGCUGUGUAUCCUAGGGAGAGGUGCCAUUCAAGACCUGGCGCUGGCUCUGGAAGAGUCUCUUAACCUAAUGCAGCUGGGACUCAUUAGGCUCAGACGGCUCUUGACCACACUAAUUAUUAGCAAAGCUCUGGUGUUGGGUUCCAACCAUUGGUCAAAGCUGUAAUAAGACUGAGUCUGUAGGCAGAGUGAAGGGGGUGCCUGAGUAGGAAGGGGGAGGCCCGCUGGGAGAGGGUCAGUGGGCAGUGAUUGUAACAUGAUUAGGCCUUCCUUGCAGAUGGCGGCUGUGCUGAACGGGGAGUGGGGUUGGAAGGAGCCACAAGCCCCCUCACUCUGCCUUUGUACUACACUGAAGACAGGUUGCUCACAUACUCUAAAGCACAUUCUUGAUACAGGAAGAAGGGCUUGUGGGGAAAGCGGCGAUUUGGUAUUGGGCAAGAGCCACGUUAAGCCUUCAUGAGGGCAGCCACCACAGCCUUGGCAUUGAGGCUGCGUAGGUCACAGUAGGUCUGGCCGGUGCCCACAAAGACGAUGGGUUUGCUUGUGAUGUACGUCAUAGAAAUAGCAGCUCCCACCUAAGUGGAGAAAGAGGACAGCCCAUCAACACAAGCCCACUUUUCACUCACCCUCUCAGGAACAGGAAGCGCUGGAGCCAAGAUUUCCUUGCAGCCUCAGCUCCUUUGUGCAGGACGCCCAUUCCAGCCUCCAGUCUCACGUUUACCUUGUCAUCAAUGGUAUCAAAUUUGGUAAGAACAAUGCCAUCAAUGAGCCGAGGUGUCUGAGCCAUAGAAUGGUCAGCCAAGGCUCUGUUGAACUUGACCUGGAAAGAAAAAGUGAUAGAAGUGUAAGAACCAUCUAAAUUGACCAAAGCUCAAGUUGUAAAGGGAACUGGGCCCACGCUCUCACCAGCUGGUCCACGGCUUCAUUGCCUACUAAGGCUUCUCCUACAAACAGCACCAAAUCAGGUGUAUUGACAGUAAUGAGUUUGGCCAGGGCAGUCAUCAGAGGGGCAUUGUCUUGCAUGCGGCCUGCCGUGUCCACCAGCACCACGUCAAAGCCUUGGUUACGUGCUAGAGAAAGAAAGUAGUCAACUCUGAACACCUGGACUACCACUCAUGCUCGUUCCCAGCUUCCUCUCAAAAAGUCCUAGUUUGACUACCUGUUCACUGUCUUGGGCUCUGGAUUUGGUUCCAAGGUAAUGUGAGAAAAACUUGAUUAUAUGCUUGGCCAUCACCAAACAUAUUCAGGAAAAGGAGGACAACAGGAUGAAGGUGACCAAAUUCAGGUUUCUCUGGUUAAGGUAUAUUAGCUUUGCCUGCAACUACAUCUGUUAUCCAAAAGCAGAGCAUGGCAAGUAACUGAUCUGACUUUUUACUGUAAUUGACCAACGAGUCUGUAGUAGCACAAGCCUGAUCUUCUGCAAAUUCCAAGAGAACCCAAGGAGAAAAAGGGACCCCAAAUAAGCCCCCACACUUCCCAUGCACUGUACCAAAAGCAAUGGCUUCCAUGGCAAUGCCAGCAGCAUCCUUGCCAUAGCCCUUUUCAAACAACUGCACCAUGGUGCGGCCACCAUGCUUCUCUGGAGGGUGUAGGGCACUCAAACGCCGGGUGUGUGUACGCAGCUGCUCCACGGCCCCAGCACGAAAUGUAUCACAGGCAGCAAUGAGGACACUGAAGCCAUUCUCUAACAACCAGAAGGAAAUCUGUGAAAAAGACGUAAGAAAAGUCACCUAAAGCCAGGAUUUUGAGACACAAGAAGUACAGAAAUAUCAGCGAUAGGCUGGGGAACUGCACUGACCUUGGCAAGAUUAGUAGAUUUCCCCACUCCAUUAACGCCGCAGAAGGUGACGACAUAAGGGCGCUGGCGACGCUGGGCAUCCAUGAUGUCCCGGAGCAUGUCUACACGACGCUGUGGCUGCAGAAUCUGCACCAGGGACUCCUGUAGGGCUUGCUUUACUGUGGAAGUCACCGCUGAAAGGGGAGGUGGAGGAGGUUGCAGCUGUGAAACUCAAGGAAUGCUCUCAAAAAUGCCUAACACCUUUCUGAGCUAAGGGGACUAAAACAGUAAAUUAGACUCUUGUCCCAGAAAUCCAGAACAGACGCACAUUACAAGGACUAACUCACUGAAUCCUCUCAAUAACCCUUAAAAUCUAGGUUACAGAGGUUUAGAGGUUAAGGAAUUUGCCGAAAGUCACAUACCUAGUAAGAACUGAGGUCUAUGCACUUAACCUACACAUAAGCACUUUCUCACUUAGGUAAGUACUUACUGCUGAACGUCCCCAUCACCUUCCCUUCCAACUUGUUGGCAACAGAUUCACAGAGCUGGACGGCAAUGUCUGCAGCCACGUUCUUAGCUGAGGAGAGGGGGACAGGUAUGUCAGUUCCAUGUCAGCAAUGACCAAUCUUUAUGGUACAGGUGAGAAACGCUAGGUGAUUCUGCUCUCAACUACCCCUAUCCCGCGAGUAUGAGUCAGCCCGGUCCUCAGAACUUACCAAUGAGAUGAUCACGCAUCUUGUCCAGCACAGAUUCCAUGUCUUCACGACUCAAGCUCUUUGAACCCACAAGGCCCUUCAGCAUACCAAACAUGCCACCCAGUGUUCCCUUGGUCGCACUGCAGGGACAGGAGAUUACACAUACACAUAAAACCAGUAGGCAGGAGUUGUAUCUUACCAGUUUUGCAGAUGCAUAUACCAACCCCCACCUGAAAUUCCCCUACCUAGGUUUGGUAGAGUUUUGAGCAGCCCCUUCGUCAUCAGAGCUGCUGCAGUCCAGAUCCUGAAGCUGCCCCCCAGACCCAGUCCCUCGAAUCUGGAAGAUACGGGGAAAGGAUGUGGGGUCAGGAACACUAAGGUCUCUGAGGAAAACGUCCACAUUGCUCUAUCUCUUUCAUUUUGGGAAGCUCCAAGUAUAACUUACCCCUCAUUCAAAUCCCAGUAUCACGUUCCCACACUCUACUUCCUCCCAAUUUGUUGUUAAAGAUCACUUUGACCCCUGUUACCUCUUACCAGGUUGAUGUCCUCAGACAAGGCAGCCUCAGGGGUUCCAUUGGUGGUGGGAGUACUGUAAUCCAACACUUCUUUGUUAGCACAGCCACCCAGUUCCCACACCCGGGGUGCUUUUUUGCCCUUCUCCUUUGGAGCAUCUGACUUCGUGGACUUGUUGGACUUCUCCAUACCCCUCCCAUGCUUCUGAAUGAACUCCUCGCGCUUCCUGCGGAUCAGCUCCUCUUUGGAAAGUUCUACUCCGUUCUCAGGACCCACUGGAAGACCUGACUUUUCUGCAGGGACUGGUUUGCUGGUAGCCAAAGGACCAUCAGAACCUUCCUUCUUGGCCCCCUUUUUUUUGCUAUUCUUUGCUUUUUCCUUGGGCUUUUCCCCCCGUGUCUCAAUCAUGGACCUCACAGGUUUCUUGGCCUUUUCAGAAUCUUCAAAUUUCUUCAUGGUAGUGGGAGCACGGAUCUUACUGCUCUCCUCUGCUUCACUAAACAAAAAGGAGAAUGGUUUAUCUUUCUACCCCAUGCAGAAGGAAAAAUAACGGUCCAGAGAAAGGACUCUCACACCCAAGAGGACAAUGAGAACUGGGUAGCAAAUUAGGAAUGUCUUUGAACACAUCAAUUUACCACCUUUGAACCACCUUCAGAGAGGUCAUCAAAUCAUGGAAAUAAAUUGAUUUUAGAGAAGGCAGGUCUCUCACCGAAGGAGCCGCAGGAAGUCAUUUUGGAAAUCAAAAGUGCCAUUUAAUAAACUUAAAGCACUUUGCUGUUGGAUCUCUGUGCGGUACUUGUCCCGAAACAGCCGAUGCACGUCAUCUAUCAAUUUGUCUACAUAUGUCAGUGUCAGGAUCUUCUGAAAACCAACCUGUUUAGGGGAAGAAACAGCCAACAGAUCUGCUUACAUACUAGCCUAGAAUGGAGGGACGCCAACUCAACCC